rnacentral:rRNA from 1 species
UUGAACGCUGGCGGCAUGCUUUACACAUGCAAGUCGGACGGCAGCACAGAGGAGCUUGCUUCUUGGGUGGCGAGUGGCGAACGGGUGAGUAACGCAUCGGAACGUACCGAGUAAUGGGGGAUAACUGUCCGAAAGGACAGCUAAUACCGCAUACGCCCUGAGGGGGCAAGCGGGGGAUCUUAGGACCUCGCGUUAUUCGAGCGGCCGAUGUCUGAUUAGCUGGUUGGCGGGGUAAAGGCCCACCAAGGCGACGAUCAGUAGCGGGUCUGAGAGGAUGAUCCGCCACACUGGGACUGAGACACGGCCCAGACUCCUACGGGAGGCAGCAGUGGGGAAUUUUGGACAAUGGGCGCAAGCCUGAUCCAGCCAUGCCGCGUGUCUGAAGAAGGCCUUCGGGUUGUAAAGGACUUUUGUCAGGGAAGAAAAGGGGCAUGUUAAUACCGUGCUCUGAUGACGGUACCUGAAGAAUAAGCACCGGCUAACUACGUG